UACGUAGGGCGCAAGCGUUGUUCGGAAUUACUGGGCGUAAAGCGCACGUAGGCGGCUUUGCAAGUCAGAGGUGAAAGCCCGGGGCUCAACCCCGGAAUAGCCUUUGAGACUGCAUCGCUAGAAUUGUGGAGAGGUAAGUGGAAUUCCGAGUGUAGAGGUGAAAUUCGUAGAUAUCAAGCGGAACACCGGUGGCGAAGGCGGCCUUCUGGACAGUGACUGACGCUGAGACGCGAAAGCGUGGGGAGCAAACAGG
rnacentral:rRNA from 1 species